rnacentral:rRNA from 1 species
UACGGAGGGUGCGAGCGUUGUCCGGAAUCAUUGGGCGUAAAGGGCGCGUAGGUGGCUUCUCAAGCGUGCGGUGAAAGCCUGGGGCUCAACCCCGGGUCGGCCGUGCGAACUGGGGGGCUUGAGCACUGUAGAGGCAGGCGGAAUUCCGGGUGUAGCGGUGGAAUGCGUAGAGAUCCGGAAGAACACCGGUGGCGAAGGCGGCCUGCUGGGCAGUUUAGCUGACACUGAGGCGCGACAGCGUGGGGAGCAAACAGG